rnacentral:pre_miRNA from 10 species
UCCAUACCUCUGGCCCAUGGUGCAGUGCUGCAUCUCUGGUCAGCUGGUAGUCUGAGAUGAAGCACUGUAGCUCGGGACAGAGGACUGAGCCAGCU